rnacentral:rRNA from 1 species
ACUCCUACGGGAGGCAGCAGUGGGGAAUAUUGCACAAUGGGCGCAAGCCUGAUGCAGCAACGCCGUGUGAGUGAAGAAGGUUUUCGGAUCGUAAAACUCUGUCCUAAGGGAAGAAACAAAUGACGGUACCUUAGGAGGAAGCCCCGGCUAACUACGUGCCAGCAGCCGCGGUAAUACGUAGGGGGCAAGCGUUAUCCGGAAUCACUGGGCGUAAAGGGUGCGUAGGCGGCUUAGCAAGCCAGGGGUGAAAGGCAUUGGCUCAACCAAUGUAAGCCUUUGGAACUGUUAAGCUUGAGUGCAGGAGAGGUAAGUGGAAUUCCUAGUGUAGAGGUGAAAUUCGUAGAUAUUAGGAGGAACACCAGUGGCGAAGGCGACUUACUGGACUGUAACUGACGCUGAUGCACG